rnacentral:rRNA from 1 species
UACGUAGGGUGCAAGCGUUGUCCGGAAUUAUUGGGCGUAAAGAGCUCGUAGGCGGUUUGUCGCGUCUGCUGUGAAAACCCGAGGCUCAACCUCGGGCCUGCAGUGGGUACGGGCAGACUAGAGUGCGGUAGGGGAGAUUGGAAUUCCUGGUGGAGCGGUGAAAUGCGUAGAGAUCGGAAAGAACACCAACGGCGAAAGCACUCUGCUGGGCCGACACUGACACUGAGAGACGAAAGCUAGGGGAGCGAAUGGG